rnacentral:misc_RNA from 1 species
GUAGGUGAACCUGCGGAAGGAUCAUUAGUCGAUUGAUAUUGAUUUCACGCCUACUGAUGCGUUCAGCAUCAGCAACGAGCCAGCGAGUUGUGUCGAGUCGAUGCGUCCAGCAUCGAAGUUGACUCGUUCGAUGCGUCCAGCAUCGAUGAGCGAUGAGCAGUAAGAUGCGUCCAUUCGAUGCGUCCAGCGUCGAUGAACACCAUCUAUGCACACUCACCACUCACACUCACACUCACCACUCACUCGGCACAAAUACUCAACAUUGACAACCAGAUACAUUACAUGAGCACCUUGCUGCAAUGGAUCUCUCGGCUCUU